GAUGAAAGAACGUAGCGAAAUGCGAUAAGUAAUGCGAAUUGCAGAAUCCGUGAGUCAUCGAAUCUUUGAACGCACAUUGCGCCCUCUGGUAUUCCGGAGGGCAUGCCUGUUCGAGCGUCAUUAUCACCCCUCAAGCCCGGCUUGUUGUUGGUUGCAGCGGCCGGGGGCCCCUCCGGGUCCCCCCGCUCCUCUCAAAGAUAACGACGGCGUCUGUGAGGACUCCUGUACACUGAGCUUUCGGGCACGUACUAGGCUAGAAGUCGCAGACCCGGUCACCGUCCCCCCCUUCCCGCUCCUCGCGGCGGCGGGGGACACCCCUUUUUACCAAGGUUGACCUCGGAUCAGGUAGGGAUACCCGCUGAACUUAAGCAUAUCAAUAAGCGGAGGA
rnacentral:misc_RNA from 1 species